CUUGCGCUUGCUAGGCAAGCGCUCUACCACUGAGCUAAAUCCCCAACCUGUAAACUACAACUGUUAAAGGCAUAAAAUACUGUGUUUUCUUUUCUUCUUUCUUUUUCUUUUCUGCUUUAUUUUAGAUUCCAUAGUCUGGCUGGGGCUUUGGCUCAAUGGUAAAGCUUUGAAUGUAGAGAGUCCUGGAGUCAAUCCUCAACACUGCGGGAAAGAUCCUGCAGCCUGUAGCUUACCUUAGCCUCAACCAACUGAAGUUAGUAAGCGUCUUGAGGGAAGACGACAGCUACUGGCUUCCCAUAUUCUUCUGACUAGCCUUCUGUUUGCUGGAAUGAGGGGCUAGGUUAAAGGCUUCAUUUCUUUAGCCUAGCCUUAAGAUGGGAAAGACAGGUGUUUACGUAUCAAAUAAACACAGAGACAGCAUAAUACACUCGUUAAUCUUAGGUUUCAGUAUUGCUAUUAAAAAAAGAAGAACUUCAGGGGGGGAAAAACCGGGAAACUCAGAAAAUGACCUUAAAUAUAAAUCUUUAGAGACUCAGAGUUUUUCUAGCACAUUCCUUCUUGAAUCACUAUAAAUAAUGAAUUAAUAUGUCUAUUUCUUUAGGCAGAGACACCCUUACAUCAGCAAUAGUUAAAUAUACAGUUUAAAGAAAAUAAUAUCAUGACAGCAACAUAAAACCAAUGGAAAGCACUGGCCAGUUAAUUCCUGUCUCACCCACCCCUAUCCCAAAUCCUUUCUGAUAUUACAUGUAGAAAGACCCACUUUUUACACCGUGUCUGCUUUGUUUAACACAACCUACCCAGCACCAAACAUCGUACUGAGACACAGCUGACCCUGGAAUUAUACAAUUUCACAUUGAUUCAAGGAAGGCAGCCAAUUCCUAGAGACCUACUAUAUACAAGACCCUUAGGAAGUUACUUUUAUAUACAGGUCAGCAAAUUACUCACACUUUGUUGAUUUGAAAGCAAGAGAAGUGACACUUUACUACUGUGACACAGCCUGUUACCUGGACACUUGUAAACCUACAAUGAUCCUUGAGUUUUAACUCAAGAUUUGUUGCUCAGCAGCACCAGUGGCUACGAGGUCAUGUAACCCCUGCUCCCCAACCCCCAAUUAAGAAGAACUCUAGGCUUCUAGAGAGAAUUCAAUGAAAAGAAUGACCAAAAGGAAGGAGAUCUGGAUUCUGCUGUUGACCCUACAGUAAGAGGUGUUACUGCCAGUUGGGAUUCAAAUUGCCCAGUCAACCUUUUGCAUUUUAAAUCUGGCUAUUUGUAAAACAAAAGUGCAAUGGUGGGGCAAUUGCUUCAUUUAUUUGCACAGCAAACUUACAUUAAGUACCUAUUUAAGUAAAAUUCUGCCCGCAGUCAAGGAGUAGGUGUGUGUGUGUGUGUGUGUGUGUGUGUGUGUGUGUGUGUGUGUGUGUGUUGGAUAUGACAACACCAAAUUCUUACCUCCAAAGGGGUCCUCAUCAUUGGAGGUCACAUUCUGUUACAGGCUGCAAAGUCUGACAGUCUACAUGCUAUCAAGCUACUUCUGUAACAGUGAAUUCAAAGCACACUUGUCAUCUCAGGCAAGCUAAGGUCUCAAUAACCAAUGGCUAUAACAAUUCUAAUGAAAGAUCAGGAAAUUUCUUCCAAAUCUCACUCCAGCACAAUGGGCACGCUGAUUGUUUCCAUUACCCUUUUCAUUUCUGGUUCUGCUGACAAAGUUCAAUAUUUAAACAAUACAUGUAAAGACUUCAAAUGGUGGGUGAGAUUAUAGCCUACAAAAUGGGUUGGGAAAUCAGAUACCCAACCAUACCUUUCUAUGAGAAUGAAGUGAGGUAUAUUUAUUUUAUUGGACAGUUUGAAAUUCUUAUAGGUUGCUGACAAUUUCCUGUCUCGUUUCUUUUAUGCUCUUGGAAUUUAGGUCAGGAUGUCUUGGGUUAUCACACUCCUUUGUUCUAACGUUUAUACCAGUAAACCAAACUAACAUAAAGAAAGUCCCGGGCGGGGGCGGGGGGGAAGGGAAAUUACUCAAAGCCUUAGGAGGAGGAUGGCAGAAGCUUUGGAAAAAAAUCUGAAAAGGCAAUGAAGAUGAAGAUGGAGAGUCUGUGAAGACUAAUGUAGUGUAGAAUUGGCGAGCGCAUCACUCACUUCUUUAAACUAACAGAAGAAAGAACCCACUUAGGAGGUACACCCACAUAACUCACAGGUGGCAAAACUAUUAGAGUCCUACAAUUUCUUGCUUCAGAACUAAAAUAAAUCCAUAUUAGGAAUGGCAUAUGCCCACACAAAAGGUUUUCUGUCUGUCCAUUUCUUUCAGGUAUCUUCCUUUGGUACACAAGCCCACUUAGCUCUCAUGAUAAUUAAAUUAUUUUAAGAAGACUUUAGGUGAAACUUUAGGUGACUACGGGAGGUACAAGCUACUAUAGUAUGUACAGAUAUAUAAUUUCCAACGGAGUGUGUUUGGUCUUGCAUAGAUUUUUGCAUAUUGACCUUAUGGUAUAAUAUAGGGAAAAUGGAAGGCUGUAGCAUGGCAUCAUGGAGCUCCCGGGAUAGUGGGACAGAUGCUGACUUCUCACAUGUUCACAUUUCUGAUCAUCGAUCAUAUAUAAUGAUCAUGCUUGCAAUAAUAACAACUCUUGUCCCUUGGUUUGUUUGUUUGCUUUGGAGCAGGGUCUUGCUCUGUCAUUCUUCCUUCUUAGUUUCCCAAUUAGACCAUCAUAGGCAACCAUGUGUGGUAAAAAUUUGCUUUGAAAUAAGAUUUUUCUUAAAGAACUAAUCUUAAUUAUGAAACUGUUUCAGUGUAUUUUCUUAUACAAAGUACUAUUCUUAACUACAAUAAUUUUGAAAAUCAUUGAUGUUUGGAGACAGAUAGUUAUUGAUGUCAUUUAUAAAAAUAACAUGUUCACAGUCUGAGGGAAGCUAUAAUUUAUUCACAACUAGGUAUUAAGGCUUAAUGAAUCUAAGUUGGUAUAGGUGGUAUAUUUGCAAACAAACUAGUUUGGAGGCCAGCUGAAAAAAAAUCACAUUUCAGAAAUGUUAUCCAUGAAAACAUUGAUUUUUAAAAGCAAAAUUAAUAUUCCCAUAAUAAAAUGCCCAACAGACUUCUGAGCUAUUUAUUGCAGGUACUAAGUCUUAUUCUAUCUUCCAACUUUUCCCUCCUGCUAAUGACUUUAGCUUCACAUUCAGUAAAUUUCAGAAAGCAAAUGACUUUUGUCUGGAUAUUCUUAAUCACCUGACAUAUGACAGCACUUUUGUGUCUGUAAAGGAAAAGGAAAAACAAAACAACAAAACAAAACACUUAAACGUGAAAUGGUGGUGGCUUUUGCUCUCUCAGCAUCCUAGCGGGCUAGGUGUGGUGGCAAUGCUUGAGAGUCCAGACAGAGUGGAAGAAGGGGUGUGUAAUGAUGGACUUAGGAUGUGUUGCAGGAUCAGUGUUAGAGCCCAGUCUUCACACUGAUAUGUGAGUUUCUCCAUAGCAGCUUGCUGCUGUUAUCAGUAGGUUGUGUUAUCCCCAGGGUCCGAUGUGCCUGGAGGCUUGGAUUUUAGGUGGAAGAACUAGAUAACAAUACAGACCUUUAAGAGACUGAGUUAGAGGGAAAUGUUAAGAUUACUGUAGGGAUGUAGUCUAGAGAAGUUGUGGGCUGCAAACUGUCUCUGCUUCCGCUCUCACAUGUAAACUUCUCUCUCCAUGAAUUCUGUGCCAGGAGGUGAGGCAACCCUCUCCACAGAGCCUGUGAAAUGCCAGUUGGACUUUCAGCCUCCAGAACUAUGAGCUAAAGAAACUUCCGACUAUUAGCUGCCUCCGGUAUUUUGCUAUGGUGAUUGAAAGAGGUGAAUAUUGCUCUAAGUAAAAAGAAAAAAAUUUGAAGAUAAUUUGAGAUCAGGAAUACUCAGAGAAUUUUCUGCUCUGUGGAUAUCAAAGAAUGUUGUCAUGCAAACUCUUCAAGGGUCUGUUCAAGGAAGAAAUUACUUCUGCGACAUAUGAAAGCUAUGAGAAGAAGCCUGGGUCGGGGGGUCGGCGGGGAGCGCCACAGCACCCCAAGGUACAAUGAAACUUCAAAUUUUCAUUACUCCUGGUUCCAUUAUCAAAAAGGAAGGGAGUAGCACCAACUCCUAAGAGAAUUGAGAACCAGAAGAAAAGUGAGGUAAGGCAAGAUCCAAACUCUGCUCUCUAGAAUUCUGCCCUGAAGGUAUUGAAUGCAAGCCCAUGUCAUCAGGAUAGUAGGUGACAGAGGUCAUUGAGCACUCCUGGGGCAUGCUUGAGACAUUUGCAUUAAGGCUUUGGUCUCCAUCCUUUCUAGACUUCAAGAAGAUUCAAAAUGAACCAACAAGCUUCGAUAGCACUAAUUAGUAACACGUGAAACUGAGCAUGUUAAGUUUCAUUUCUGGAGCAGCCAGAUAAAUAUCUGCCCACAAGAGCCUUUUGAAUCACACAAUAUUACGUGAAUAUGAAGAGAGUGGCGAUAGUUUCUCUGAAAAAAUGCCAAGCAGUAUUUUGAAUGAAACCUGAUUUUUAUCCUAUUACAUGACCAGAAUAAGGGUGCAGGUAAAUGACCUGAGGUCGAUAUAGAAGGCUUUCUAUGCCAUGGAACAUACAAAGUGGGGUGUUGUGGAUGUUAAGUGAACUCUAAACUGGUGAUGAGCUCAGUGAUGAUGAUGAUGGCAACAGAAGACCAGUGUAUAUGGUUGUCCUACCAUGAAAAUCAGCACUCCAGUGAGUUCUCACAGGGAGAUGUGCAUGAGGGUGCAUUCUGCUUUUCAUGCAUUCAUGCAAAUAUGAGUUUCAGGACUUUCGCCUAAAUCUAAACUUCAGGAGAGUUUGGAUACAUUUGUAUGUUCUGAUGGCCUCCAAUCUCAGUUGUGUGUGUGUUUGUGUGUU
rnacentral:sRNA from 1 species